rnacentral:rRNA from 1 species
UACGGAGGAUCCGAGCGUUAUCCGGAUUUAUUGGGUUUAAAGGGUGCGCAGGCGGGAGAUUAAGUCGGCGGUGAAAUUUUGCAGCUCAACUGUAAAAGUGCCUUCGAAACUGGUUUCCUCGAGUGUAGAUGAAGUAGGCGGAAUUUGUGGUGUAGCGGUGAAAUGCAUAGAUAUCACGAGGAACUCCGAUUGCGCAGGCAGCUUACUAAACUACUACUGACGCUCAGGCACGAAGGCGUGGGGAUCAAACAGGAUUAGAUACCCUGGUA